rnacentral:rRNA from 1 species
AACAAACGCUGGCGGCGUGCCUAAUACAUGCAAGUCGAACGGGGAAAGCUUUCGGGUGAGUACUAGUGGCGCACGGGUGAGUAACGCGUGGAUAAUCUGCCUUAGAGUGGGGGAUAACUAGUCGAAAGAUUAGCUAAUACCGCAUAAGACCACAAGAACUGCGGUUCAAGGGGUCAAAGGUUUUUCGCUCUAAGAUGAGUCCGCGUAAGAUUAGCUAGUUGGUAGGGUAACGGCCUACUAAGGCGACGAUCUUUAACUGGUCUGAGAGGAUGAUCAGUCACACUGGAACUGAGACACGGUCCAGACUCCUACGGGAGGCAGCAGUAGGGAAUAUUGCACAAUGGAUGAAACUCUGAUGCAGCGACGCCGCGUGAGUGAUGAAGGCCUUCGGGUCGUAAAGCUCUGUCGCAGGGGAAUAACACAAUGAAGGUACCCUGUAAGAAAGGAUCGGCUAACUUCGUGCCAGCCGCCGCAGUAACAC